rnacentral:rRNA from 1 species
GGAGGAAUAUUCCACAAUGGGCGAAAGCCUGAUGGAGCAACGCCGCGUGCAGGAUGAAGGCCUUCGGGUCGUAAACUGCUUUUAUAAGUGAAGAAUAUGACGGUAACUUAUGAAUAAGCACCGGCUAACUACGUGCCAGCAGCCGCGGUCAUACGUAGGGUGCAAGCAUUAUCCGGAGUGACUGGGCGUAAAGAGUUGCGUAGGUGGUUUGUUAAGUGAAUAGUGAAAUCCGACGGCUCAACCGUACGGA